rnacentral:misc_RNA from 1 species
GAAAUGCGAUAAGUAAUGUGAAUUGCAGAAUUCAGUGAAUCAUCGAAUCUUUGAACGCACCUUGCGCUCCUUGGUAUUCCUUGGAACAUGCCUGUUUGAGUAUCAUGAAAUCUUCAAAGUAAAUCUUUUGUUAACUCAAUUGGUUUCUACUUUGGUAUUGGAGGUCUUUGCAGCUUCACACCUGCUCCUCUUUGUUCAUUAGCUGGAUCUCAGUGUUAUGCUUGGUUCCACUCGGCGUGAUAAGUUAUCUAUCGCUGAGGACACUGUAAAAGGUGGCCAAGGUAAAUGCAGAUGAACCGCUUCUAAUAGUCCAUUGACUUGGACAAUACUUUUAUGAUCUGAUCUCAAAUCAGGUAGGACUACCCGCUGAACUUAAGC